rnacentral:rRNA from 1 species
UACAGAGGGUGCAAGCGUUGUUCGGAAUUAUUGGGCGUAAAGCGUGCGCAGGCGGUUCGUUGUGUCGGCGGUGAAAGCCCCGGGCUCAACCUGGGAAUGGCCGUUGAAACUGGCGAACUGGAGUGUGGCAGAGGGGGGUGGAAUUCCGCGUGUAGCAGUGAAAUGCGUAGAGAUGCGGAGGAACACCGAUGGCGAAGGCAGCCCCCUGGGCUGACACUGACGCUCAGGCACGAAAGCGUGGGGAGCAAACAGG